rnacentral:lncRNA from 1 species
GGGAGGGAAGGGGAGAGAACAGAUUGUUGAUGAUAACUAAAAGUAAAACACAAACAAUGGAUGUGUAUGCACAAGAAACUAUAGAAUGCUGAUAUAACAAAUUAUAUAAUUAUAAUGUGCCAUCUAUAAACCUUUAAUGUGAUCCUAAAAUAUUUAAAUCUCCACCUAGCUUAAUAGCAGAAGGCCUAUUGUUCUCCUUUUCAUCUGCAACACUGAAUGCAUCAAACUCAUAAUAGAAUAUGUGCUUGCAUGCACACACAAGCAAAUGCUUGGACCCACUCACCCACAUACAGACACAUAUGCAUGCAUAUAUUUUGGAUGUUGAAUAAUUGCGAAUAUCUAACAUGCCUUUCAGGAGCUUUUCAUACCAAAUGGUGAGAAUAUUCAAGUGCAUCAGUAAGAUGGGACUUAAUAGGGGAUAUACCUGAAAAUCCAGCAUAUUGCUACUACUAAUUAUAAGGUGCCUCUAAAUGCCAACUGCUGUUGGUAUUCA